rnacentral:rRNA from 1 species
UACAGAGGUCUCAACCGUUGUUCGGAUUCAUUGGGCGUAAAGGGUGCGUAGGCGGCCAACUAAGUCCGACGUGAAAUCCCAAAGCUUAACUUUGGAACUGCGUCGGAUACUGGAUGGCUUGAAUUCGGGAGAGGGAUGCAGAAUUCCAGGUGUAGCGGUGAAAUGCGUAGAUAUCUGGAGGAAUACCGGUGGCGAAGGCGGCAUCCUGGACCGACAUUGACGCUGAUGAGCGAAAGCUAGGGGAGCAAACGGG